rnacentral:rRNA from 1 species
GAUGAACGCUGGCGGCGUGCCUAAUACAUGCAAGUCGAGCGAACGGACGAGAAGCUUGCUUCUCUGAUGUUAGCGGCGGACGGGUGAGUAACACGUGGAUAACCUACCUAUAAGACUGGGAUAACUUCGGGAAACCGGAGCUAAUACCGGAUAAUAUUUUGAACCGCAUGGUUCAAAAGUGAAAGACGGUCUUGCUGUCACUUAUAGAUGGAUCCGCGCUGCAUUAGCUAGUUGGUAAGGUAACGGCUUACCAAGGCAACGAUGCAUAGCCGACCUGAGAGGGUGAUCGGCCACACUGGAACUGAGACACGGUCCAGACUCCUACGGGAGGCAGCAGUAGGGAAUCUUCCGCAAUGGGCGAAAGCCUGACGGAGCAACGCCGCGUGAGUGAUGAAGGUCUUCGGAUCGUAAAACUCUGUUAUUAGGGAAGAACAUAUGUGUAAGUAACUGUGCACAUCUUGACGGUACCUAAUCAGAAAGCCACGGCUAACUACGUGCCAGCAGCCGCGGUAAUACGUAGGUGGCAAGCGUUAUCCGGAAUUAUUGGGCGUAAAGCGCGCGUAGGCGGUUUUUUAAGUCUGAUGUGAAAGCCCACGGCUCAACCGUGGAGGGUCAUUGGAAACUGGAAAACUUGAGUGCAGAAGAGGAAAGUGGAAUUCCAUGUGUAGCGGUGAAAUGCUCAGAGAUAUGGAGGAACACCAGUGGCGAAGGCGACUUUCUGGUCUGUAACUGACGCUGAUGUGCGAAAGCGUGGGGAUCAAACAGGAUUAGAUACCCUGGUAGUCCACGCCGUAAACGAUGAGUGCUAAGUGUUAGGGGGUUUCCGCCCCUUAGUGCUGCAGCUAACGCAUUAAGCACUCCGCCUGGGGAGUACGACCGCAAGGUUGAAACUCAAAGGAAUUGACGGGGACCCGCACAAGCGGUGGAGCAUGUGGUUUAAUUCGAAGCAACGCGAAGAACCUUACCAAAUCUUGACAUCCUUUGACAACUCUAGAGAUAGAGCCUUCCCCUUCGGGGGACAAAGUGACAGGUGGUGCAUGGUUGUCGUCAGCUCGUGUCGUGAGAUGUUGGGUUAAGUCCCGCAACGAGCGCAACCCUUAAGCUUAGUUGCCAUCAUUAAGUUGGGCACUCUAAGUUGACUGCCGGUGACAAACCGGAGGAAGGUGGGGAUGACGUCAAAUCAUCAUGCCCCUUAUGAUUUGGGCUACACACGUGCUACAAUGGACAAUACAAAGGGCAGCGAAACCGCGAGGUCAAGCAAAUCCCAUAAAGUUGUUCUCAGUUCGGAUUGUAGUCUGCAACUCGACUACAUGAAGCUGGAACCGCUAGUAAUCGUAGAUCAGCAUGCUACGGUGAAUACGUUCCCGGGUCU